GUCUACUUGAAGGGAGAGGGUAGGAAAAGGGAGAAGAUCAGGAAAAAUAUUGGGUACUGGGCUUCAUACCUGGGUGAUGAAAUAGUAGUAUGUACAACAAAUCCCCAUAACACAUGUUUACCUAUGCAGCAAACCUUCGCAUGUACCCCUAUACCUAAAGUUUAAAAAAAUAUUAAGAUCUAGUUUAAAGAAAAGGUAUAUUCCAUUAAAUUCAGAGCUGGUAAGACCCCCAUCUCAUAGACCAAAAAGCUCUGAGAUCUAGAUUGGGUUUUCACUGAAGUCCAACUUUUUAUCCAAAGAUUUCUGAGAAAAUACCUGACCGGAUUUCUUCCACUUAGGAAGAUAUUCUUAGGGUGCAAGUACAGAGUAGCAGUUUAGAUUCUAUUCUGCUAUUACAUUAAAAAAAACAUUUCUAAAUACUCAUUCACCUUCUAAAUCACCCAGCAAUAUGCUGAUGAAAGCUGUUUUCUUUCUUGUAACUACAGGUGUCAGAUGCAUCACAAAAGCAGAAGUGCCCUUUCAGCUCUUCUCUGUGCCAUUCCUUGUCAAUUUCAUGCUGCCUACAGCAACAACAUAAUACUGAAAACAGCCAUGAUGUCACUGGAAGUGCUCUGUGAUUGACAGAGAGGGGCAGUCGUAGUCAGGGGUGGCUCCUCAGAGAAUUCAGAACUCACUGGCUGUCCUCUAGGGGCUCAUCCCUUGAUUUGAAGGAGGGGUAGAAUAUUCUCUGCAUGAGAAAGCAGAGAUGGGAAGUGAUAUAGGUAUGUAUGGAUGGUCAGUUACUCUAAAUAUAGUUAGACAGGACAGCCUGAAUACCAAGGUCUUGGUUAGGUCCUCUGUAACAAGUCCUAGAGGCCCAGAAAUGUGAUGACAGUGAGGCAGAUUUCUUAACUAUCGCACUUGUUGAAAUGAGUAGAAGGUGACAUUUGUUUGGAAAUCCCUCCCCAGCCUUUGUUCCCAGAACUCAGCAUUCAUUUUCCUGUGCCUACAUAACGUAGUUCCUUAGAUAAACACUACUACUGCAACAAAUCAUAGAGUGCCAGGCAUUACCAGAUGGUUACAUAGAAUUAAAAAUAUAUGCAAAAAAAUAAGUUCUGAAGUAAAAAUGGAUAAAGAUAUAACUCUCACUAAUUCCUAAAAUUGCUUGUUAUUACAGCCAGGCUGCUACAAACACAGUGUCUUUAUCCACCCAAAACUUUGUUCCCAGCAUUCUUUUCCUCUGACAUUCUCUAUACCUCUCUAUUCAUGAAAGCCUACCCAUUUAUUAAGGACCAACUAAGGAAGAACAUCCUUUAUGGAUCCUUUCUUGGUAAUUUAUGUAUAGUAAUUAUAGCCUUUACUGAAAUCUUAUUGUCUGCCUUUUGUUUGUCCUUCAAUCUUGACUGUUCUUUCCUCCCAUUUUAGGAUCUCUUUUCUCCUCAACAGAAUCUAAAUUCCUUGGGAUAAGAGACCAUGUUUAAACUUUUCCCUCUUCUGAGCCCACAGGACCUGGACAGAGGUGAACUGUUUGCAGACAGAGUCCCACUAGCUGGAAAACAGUGAUCUAGUAACAAGAACUUUAGGCUGGAUGUUAGAGAACCUGAAUCUUCCAGGCACUUCUUUGGACUAAUCAUUGACAUUUUUGGAUUUUGGAUUGCCUUUGGCAGAGGAUGUUAUCAAUCAAAUAUGUGUGGUCUUCGUUCCAUAGUACACAAUUAUUGUGGGAUGUGGUUGUCCUCCAAAGACUACACUUCAUCGUAAGACAUAAGCAGAAGUGAUGUGUGUCACUUCCAGUCUAAGUAGGCCCCUUCUCCUCUUCAUUCCUUUUCCACUGGCUUGAUGUGGAGAAACAGUGACCUUAGAAGCCACAUGUUGAAGGCACUGGAUCCAUCACAUGGGAAGAGUCAGCGUUCCUGAUUUAAUGGCUGCAGGAAAGCAGCCUGCCAAUCAACAAUGCCCAUGCUGAACUUUACAUGCGUGCAAAAUAAAAUUAUAUUUUGUUUAAACUAUUAUCUAUUUUGGGGUUUGUUAUAGCAGCUAGUAUUAUCCUAACUGAUAUGUUUGGAGAGACGUCUACCCAUCUUACAAAAUGUAAUUAUCAAUCUGUUAAAUAUCAAAAUGUCAGAAGCAUCAAGUAAAUGCCUGUGGCAAUAUUUUCUUGUUUACCUGGUGCUUAUAUUCCAAGAGCAUUGUGUUAAAAGCUUGCAUAAUAGCUUGGUGGUUCAAACGACUCAUAAACUUAAGUGUUGUGGGUUCCAGAGUAUGUAAGAAUAACAGCAGAGACUGUCUUAGAACCUUUAAGGUGCUUAUUGGGUAGGAUUCAGUUAUGGGGAAAGGAGGGGCUUGGAGGAGAUGAUCAUUUAUCAUCAUGACAAAUACCAGAAGAGUUUUACGUAAAGAAAUUGAAUAAGACUAAUUUACCAUUGAGUUAUAUUUCCAGAACUUUAAUGAAUUUUUGUCAAAUGAACUUACAGAGUAAUCCAAAUACUUAUCCUUGACUUUGCUGUUGUCUCUGCCUUAAGUAUAGAAUUUUCAAACUGAAUAGGCAAAAAAAAAAAAAAAAGAAAAGAAAGAAAGAAAUAGGAAUACCUAAACUUGGAUUUGAAUAUGAAUAGCCCAUGACCACAUUAUCUUUUUGACACUUAAUAGCUGCAACACAUAUAUAUUCAUAUUACUUUCCAUUCUCUCCCUCUCAGAAAACCUAGCCUGAAGACCUUUAUAGAAGAAACUUUUAGUCUCUGCUUUUCUUCAGGUGCUUAGUAAAUUAUGCAUUAUUAACAAACCCUGACAUCUUUGACACAUCGAAGUGGUCAAAGACGCCAAAAUCAGUUUAACCUAUCCUCUGCCAAAAUAAAUAAAAUCACGCUCUUCUAUGAAAUGGAUAUAUUUUGGGGUAGACUUUAACAUCAGUGGGUUUCAAGAGAAGAAUAUAAAUGAAGAUAUACAGGCCAUGUGUCUAAAUAUUUAACAGUUAUAAAUGCAGCUAACAAACUUCACAAAAUCAUUUUCAAAAAUACUUUGCUGUGAGGACUAAAUAGGUCAAUGCAUGUUAAGAGUGUAGAAGCACACCUGACAUGUAUGAGAACCCAAUAAAUGUUAGUUGCUGGUGAUGAGGAUGAUGACUUCUCUCCUCUAGAACAUUGCUUGAUGAAUAAAUGACUGUGAAUGAUUAUUGAGUGGUGAAGAUUAUCUGGACCAUUGGGUGCCUUCUUGAUUAAUAAAACAGUGUCCAAGAGAAUGGUAUCAAUACAACCGACCCCAAAUACAUACCAAAGGGACUAUAAUAAAAGACUUUAGGCACUCAAGCUUUCAUAGGCACUAAUUCUAUAAUAAGUUUAAAACUGAGAAUUCUAAGAUAAUUUAAAUUUUACAUUUAUAUUUAUGAAUGAUAAGCUAAGUGAAAGCUAAAUGCUAAAGGAAAACUUUGCAGAAAACUGAUUGUAAUCAGUAAUUCUGGUACUGUUGGAUUAAUAUUUUGGCUUAGUAACGUUAUCACUUAAAACUAAUGGGGCCAAUAUAUAUUUUAGAACAUUCAACAAUAGCUUCUAAAUUAUAGUUGUGUUCCCUAGCACUGCUAAAAUUAAUGAUCUUGUAAAAUUCUUAUUAUAAGAAUAUAUUUUCAAGUACAGAAAACUCUGCCAUAAAUUAUUUUACAUAAAUAAUUAUUUUUAAAAAUCAAUAAGACUAUUUUAAAGUUUUGGAACUAAAAAAAGAUUUUCUUAAAAAAUUGCUUUGAAAGUGAUUUAUGAAAAAAAAUCAACCUUUCUACUAUAAUAAUUUUUAAAAGGACUAUCUUUUCUAUUAAAAAAUUUAAUUUAAUUUUACAGGCUGUUACUCUAUAAAUAGAAUAAUCCAUUUUAAAUGGACAAGGUGAAGUAUAUAAAUGACAUUAUUAGUGUUGCUACUAACAAGUUUUGAACUAUGAAUAUUAACACAUAAAUAAAACCAAACCAAAGAGGAUACAAAUCUUAGAGUAAAUGAAUAUUAGGAGUGGCAUACCAAUUAUUUCCUUAGUUCAAGGCGUAAAUGGAUCAAAAUAAUUGAGUAAUAUUGGCAUCUUCCUGCAUUAUAUAUUGAAAAAAAUACAUUUAUAAAUAAUUAAAAAAACAGCAGCAACACUUAUAUAAAAACUGUUACAUUUAAAACUUACCUUAACUUUCUCAUUUUAUAAUAUUCUGUUAUUAGCUGGUAGCUAAUAGUCACCGCAAAAUGGCUAAUGAAAUUGAUAAAUCACUGCAAAACUCAAGGUAUUGUAUUUUAAAGUAAGAAUAGGAUGUGCUUAUAGGACAGAAAUGCCCACUAUUAUUUAUACUCAUCAUGAUUAAUAUAAAUCUGGGGUACUUGGCUGUAGUUGUCAAAUAUCACCACUGUGAAAUAGCCAUUCUGUUAAAGGUAGCUACAACUUUUCAAAAGUGUUUUAAAACUUUCCAGUUUCUAAAAUACUUUUAUUCUAAAAAUUUGAAAUAUGCUGUGUUUAUGUAACUGAGUAUGUAUUUAAAUUUGUCCAAUGUCUGGGUACUACUCUUAAAGAUACUGGAAUCCUUUACCAAGAAUCUACUUUUCAGUGCUAGUCUCAGCUCCAGCCUUGGUGAAGCGAAGGAAGGUAGGCAAUGAUAAAAUGGCAGACUCAGAGGGGCAAGGGUCACACUUCAUUAACUUGAAUUCCAAUCAGCCCAUUCCAAUUAAAACACAAAAGUAAGAGUGUGAUUUUACUUAUUUUGGCAGAAGAUAAACUGAUUUUAGCAUCUUGGACCACUUCGAUAUGUCAAAGAUGUGUUCUGAACUUAUGUCUUAUCAUUUAGCUCUCAUUCCUCAACACUUAGAUCUGUUUUACUAAACGUCAAUCACCACACUUUCAACAUCCCUUUUCUCUACCCUUCUGCUAAUCAUAAAUAGCUAUUGGGAAAGUCAUGGAGUUGUGUUGAUCAAGCCCACUAGAUAGUUUGCUAUCUGCUUUGAGCUUGGCUGUCUCUUGGUAGUUAUCACAUUACAUUCUGAAAGUUUCAUUAAUUAUUCAAAUUGCUUGUAAACUCCUUGAAGAUAGGGACUCAAUUGUUUAUGCCUUUGCAGCUUGAGUUCCUAAACUUGCCUGGGUAUCUAAGAAAGUCCAUUCAUUUAGAUAUUAAUUCAAAGUUUAUUAUGAAUAAUUACUAUAAAGAAUCAGAUUAUCUAAUGUUGGGUUUCACAUGGUAUAUGAAAACUAGGAAAAUUUAGCAGCUGUGAAAUAAUUCUCCUUCCUAUUUUUUUUUCUUUUGGCUUCACCUUAGACAAUGUGAAAGCCACUAUACAAGAAGUGAAAGGACAAAUAAUAAGAAUAAUGCAUCACACCUUUGUUAAGAGGGCACCAGAUUUAAGGUUUCUCUACUUAUCCUUUUCAUAAACAUCUCAGAACAAGUGAGAACCUACAGAUGCUGCAUAUUGUAAUUCCUGGGCACAUUUGGGUGGGAUAAGCAGAAAGAAGCUUUGAAUCUCUCCAGCCUGUGCCCUGCUUUCCAACCAGGGUUUUCCACCCUGUAAACUGCUAUCGUGUGUACUGCCUUCCACAAAGAUUUGAAAUUCAUCAAACAGACAAAGUGUAUACUUAAUACUCACAUGAGGGAAUACAGAAUGCCUCUCAAUACAUCAAACUCCUAAACCUUUUACAUCCUUCAUUUUUAAGCUACAUGGAUUUUGAUUUGUACAAUUUUAAAAAUAUUCUGAAGCCUAGUCAAUCUAACAGUAAAAGCACUGUUGCACAGUAAGAAAUCAAGAAAUACAAUUCAGCAAACCUGGUAUAGUUGGUCCCCAGGGAAGCUUUGUUCCAAUUCGGUUUGUCAUAGCCCAGAUCCAUCAUGUCAUGCUAGCCUAACUUACUACUACUGUCUUUCAUUUUUUUCCCCCUUUUUGGCACACUCCAACUAUUUUCUGUUAAACUAGUGCUGUCACAAGAAAACAUAUAAAAAUGCUCUUUUGCAAACACACUGUUUGAUUCUCUCCUGAACUCUCCAGAGCUACAGAUUUCUCUCACUGUCUUCAUCGGGGUGAAUGUUGACAGAUCACUGAACCUUACUGUUGGUGGUGACAGGCUUGAUGCUGUUUUGUGCAAGGUGGAGAAAAAAACAAAAUAAUAAUAAUAAAAAAAAGGUUUCUGUGCCUUGCAUCUAGAAGGUCCCUGAUUCAACAACAAAGGCUUAUGUUCAAAGAUGAUUAGCUUAAAGGCAUUUCAGAGAUUUCUGAUUGUAGCAGCAGUUGGGUGUCUUGCUACUGGGUGAAAUAUGUAUUCCCCUGAGAACAAAGGCAGCAGCAAUCCUCUUCUGCUGAGAUGGCACCUUUAAUAAUUCCAUGUAUUUAUCAGUAUGUGUGUCAAGAUCUUAGGGAUUUUGCCCUUCAGGUGAAGCUAAGAAUAGAUAGAGUGGAUAGGGUCUUAAACAGUCCUCUAAGGUAUCUGCAGACAAAAAA